rnacentral:rRNA from 1 species
AUUGAACGCUGGCGGCAGGCCUAACACAUGCACGUCGAGCGAGCGGCGGACGGGUGAGUAAUGUCUGGGAAACUGCCUGAUGGAGGGGGAUAACUACUGGAAACGGUAGCUAAUACCGCAUACCAUCAGAUGGGCCCAGAUGGGAUUAGCUAGUAGGUGGGGUAAUGGCUCACCUAGGCGACGAGCCCUAGCUGGUCUGAGAGGAUGACCAGCCACACUGUGACUGAGACACGGUCCAGACUCCUCCGUGAGGCAGCAGUGGGUAAUAUUGCACAAUGGGCGCAAGCCUGAUGCAGCCAUGCCGAGUGUGUGAAGAAGGCCUUCGGGUUGUAAGGCACUUUCAGUGGGGAGGCGUUACCCGCAGAAGAAGCACCGGCUAACUCCGUGCCAGCAGCCGCGGUAAUAC